rnacentral:rRNA from 1 species
UACGUAGGUGGCGAGCGUUGUCCGGAAUUACUGGGCGUAAAGGGUGCGUAGGCGGCUCUUUAAGUGAGGUGUGAAAGCCCUGGGCUUAACCCAGGAAUUGCACUUCAAACUGGAGAGCUAGAGUGCAGGAGAGGAAAGUGGAAUUCCCAGUGUAGCGGUGAAAUGCGUAGAUAUUGGGAAGAACACCGGUGGCGAAGGCGGCUCACUGGCCCGUAACUGACGCUCAGGCGCGAUAGCGUGGGGAUCAAACAGG